AUAAAGCUUUCCAUCAAUAUCAGGUUCAAGUGGUCUUGGAGAGGAGAGCGAGACGUGGAUAUGUAGUACAUGGUCAAAACUUCAAGUAGAAGAUGUUGCUAUUGCUUUGUCUACCUGGCACACUACGGUUUCUUGUUUGAAGUUAAAACCAGUCAGGCUUCAAAACGGAUACGGCAU